rnacentral:rRNA from 1 species
CCUUAGACAUUGGGAUAGCCUCGGGAAACCGGGAUUAAUACCAAAUAAAAUCAUAAUGACACAUGUCAUAACGAUCAAAACUCCGGUGGUCUAAGAUGGACUCGCGUCCAAUUAGCUAGUUGGUAGAGUAAAAGCCUACCAAGGCGACGAUGGGUAGCCGGCCUGAGAGGGUGAACGGCCACAUUGGAACUGAGAAACGGUCCAA